rnacentral:misc_RNA from 1 species
AUUGCCUCAACUUCACGCACAAUACGCAAGUGGCUGCGGUUUCUUGUGCUUUUGAAUGCCAUCCGCUCCAGUAAAUGUGUGGCCCCUAAUGAGGCUGGAGACUCAUAUACUGAACCACAGUUAACAUACAACCCUAUUGACGCUGCAGGAUUCGGUGAUGUUUCAGAGCCAACUUUCAUCCCAUUUGGGAGAGUCGUAAUCUUGGUUUUUCCAGGUUCAACAUAAUCAGGCAAUGUGGGUGGAAGUUCAACUCCUGGAAAGGGGAAGUCCAGAGGAGGCAAAGACUUGGACUUGUCACCAGUUAGCCAGCUGAAGAGACCACCCAAAGAGGAUGAUUGCAAGGAAGCAGCACUUGAACUUGUAAAUCUUGAAGGCAACCUACUGAUUCU